AAGUCGUAACAAGGUUUCCGUAGGUGAACCUGCGGAAGGAUCAUUAUAAAAAUUUACAUUUUAAUAUGUAAAAAAAAAUGUAUUCAAAACCCAAUUCUUUAAAUCAUAAAAUAUAUAUUUUUAUAUAUAUAAAAAAAAUAAAUAAUAAAAUAAUAACAACUUUCAACAACGGAUCUCUUGGCUCUC
rnacentral:misc_RNA from 1 species